rnacentral:lncRNA from 1 species
UGAAGGAAAGGGAGUGGCUUUUUGGUCUGAUGUUACAAAGCAAUCUUUUUAACCCAAUAGAAAGGGGUGGCAAAGUGUUUGUUUCCCAUGAUUACAGUCAGUCUAAGGAACAACAAAGGGAAAUUACCAUGAGGAGAAUUGAGUACCUUCUUGAACAUGGGGUUUUCAAGAAAUGGUUUACUGGUAAAGGGCCUGAAAAUGAGUGGAGGAAGUUAGCUUUCUCGGAUUGUGUUGGCGUCUUUGAUUAUUCACUUAGCAUCAAGCUUGGAGUCCAUUUGACCCUAUGGUAUGUUCUUGUCCAUUGUGUGCCUAUUUUUAAUAUCCGGAAGUUAGUGGCCUAACUAAUUUGCAUACCUCUCCGGUAGGUCCCAACUAAGGGAGAAGUUAUCUAUUCUCGAGGCCUGAACUCGAGACGUAUGGUUGAGGGGGAGACAUUUGGUUAAGUGUGGCGUCCACUAAGAGAUAAGUUCUUCAUUCCCGAGAGUUGAACCCUUGGCCUAUGGUUAAGGGUUAGAAUUGUAGUUAAGACUUAAGAGGUUCUUCAUUUCUAAGACUUGGUAGAACCCGACUCUUGUGGUUAAGUGCAAAACUUUGGUUAAGUGUGAAGGGGGUCACCUCCAUCCCACCUCACCUCUUGAUGGUCCGAAUGAUAAAUUGCUAUAAUGGUUGUUGUUACUGUUUGUUUUUCACUCAAAUUAGUUGGGAUCAAAUAUAUGAAUCGGCUUUGUCUAUCUCAGAGAACUCAUAAUUCCACUCUUUUUACUAUGGUUGUCAUAAGACAUUAUUAUUGAAUAGGAAUAAGAAAGAGUAUAAGUAGACAUUAAAUUUUCCUGUACGGACAUUCUUGAUUGCUUGAUUGAUUGGUUAAAGAAAGCUUACUUGGCAACUUUAGACCACCCAUCUGUGGAGGGUAGGAUGUACGCAAACCCUACCCCUGCCUUUGUGGGGUAGAUAGUUUGUUUCCGGUAGACCCUUGGCUCAAAACAAAAGUUUUUUAAGCAAGGAAAAUGCAAUAGAAAAAUAGCAAAAUAGCAAGAUACAAAGCAAAUGAAACAACAGACGGUACCACACAUUGAAAAAUAAGAAACAAAGCAAAUGCUAACUAGUACUACCACUACUAAUAGGAGGGGUAUUAUAUAAUUUUUUGAAUUAAUUUAAAUUGAAAAGUAUUAUAUAAAUUAGAAAGUCGUUUGUUUACAUUGAUGGGAUGUAUAAGAAUAUUUCAUGAGAUCCAUUAUCCCACCUUUUGUAUGAAAUUGCUAAUUUCACCAUUUUGUACAAAAUUAUUUUUGGAGCUAAUCAACAUCUAUAUUCAAAUAUGUAUAAAUUAGAAAGUCGUUUGUUUACAUUGAUGGGAUGUAUAAGAAUAUUUCAUGAGAUCCAUUAUCCCACCUUUUAUAUGAAAUAGCUAAUGUCACCAUUUUGUACAAAAUUAUUUUCGGAGCUAAUCAACAUCCAUAUUCAAAUAUGAGACUGAGUUGUUGUUCGGUAGCUGGUUAGAAUUAUGCAGGUAUUAGCUAUUCUAUCCUCUACUCCGUAUAAGAUAAUACACCAAUUCCCUCAUAACUCAUACAUGUAUUAGUUACGAGUUUCUAAAUUGCAAACCAAACUUCAUAUUAGUUUUAAUCACGAAUAAUUUAUUUCCUAAUUAACUACCAAACAUUGUAUAACUUAUACAAAAUUUAAUAAAUAUAUAAAUUGCUUCUUUACUAGCUACCAAACGACGACUGAUUGUUUGUUAUUGUAGUUGUCAGUCAACUAUGAGGUAAAAUAAUCAGACAUUUUGAAAUUUUCAGCUAUUGAUGUAGCCUCUUUGGAUGCUGAUCUAGAAUCCUUAUUUUUUAAAUUAUUAACAACCACCUAGCCCACCAACUUUGACCAUGGAAUAUAACUAAGUAGCCAGAUCAGUUAGACCAAAUAUUAAGUCUCCACACUGUCAUGCCACCACUCUACAUAGUUUUUUUCCCUUCUAUCAUUUCUGUUUGCUUGAUAUCUCAUACAAAAUCAAUCAUCACUUCAAUGGAGAAAGUGAAUUUCAGAAUAAAAGUCCUCAGCAGACACCUAAAUCAAGAAACAUCCACACCCAAGUUUAUACUCGAAUCGUUUCCAUGUCUUAGCUACAAGCCACCUGAGCUUUCAGAACCAUCUGCUGUUUUCGACAUAAAAGAGAUGAGAAAGCUCGUGGAUGGUCACAAUUUGGAGGAAAGGGACUGGCUUUUUGGUCUGAUGUUACAAAGCAAUCUUUUUAACCCAAUGGAAAGGGGUGGCAAAGUGUUUGUUUCCCCUGAUCACAGUCAGUCUAAAGAACAACAAAGGGAAAUUACCAUGAGGAGAAUUGAGUACCUUCUUGAACAUGGGGUUUUUAAGAAAUGGUUUACUGGUGAAGGGCCUGAAAAUGAGUUGAGAAAGUUAGCUUUCUCGGAUUGUAUUGGCGUCUUUGAUCAUUCACUGGGCAUCAAGCUUGGAGUCCAUUUGACCCUAUGGUAUGUUCUUGUCCAUUGUGUGCCUAUUUUUAAUAUCCGGAAGUUAGUGGCCUGACUAAUUUGAAUACCUCUCGGGUAGGUCCCAACUAAGGGAGAAGUUAUCUAUUCUCGAGGCCUGAACUCGAGACGUAUGGUUAAGGGGAAGACAUCUGGUUAAGUGUGGCGUCCACUAAGAGAUAAGUUCUUCAUUCCCGAGAGUUGAACCCUUGGCCUAUGGUUAAGAGUUUGAAUUGUAGUUAAGAGGUUCUUCAUUUCUAAGACUCGGUAGAACCCGACUCUUGUGGUUAAGUGCAAGAUCUUUGGUUAAGUGUGAAGGGGUCACCUCCAUCCCACCUCACCUCUUGGUGGUCCGAAUGAUAAAUUGCUAUAAUGGUUGUUGUUACUGUUUGUUUUUCGCUCAAAUUAGUUGGGAUCAGAUAUAUGAAUCGGCUUUGUCUAUCUCAGAGAACUCAUAGUUCCAUUCUUUUUACUAUGGUUGUCAAAAGAUAUAAUUUUUGAAUAGGAAUAAGAAAGAAUACAAGUGACAUUUAAUUUUCCUGGACGGACAUUCUUGAUUGCUUGAUUGAUUGGUUAAAGAAAGUAUGCUUGGCAACUUUAGACCACCAGUCCGUGGAGGGUAGGAUGUACGCAAACCCUACCCCUGCCUUUGUGGGGUAGAUAGUUUGUUUCCGUUAGACCCUUGGCUCAAAACAGAAGUUUUUUAAGCAAGGAAAAUGCAAUAGAAAAAUAGCAAGAUACAAAGCAAAUGAAACAACAGAUAGUACCGCACAUUGAAAAAUAAGAAACUAAGGGAAUGCUAACUAGUACUACCACUACUAAUAGGAGGGGUAUUAUAUAAUUUUUUGAAUUAAUUUAAAUUAAUAAGUGUGAUAUUAAUUAGAAAGUCGUUUGUUUACAUUGAUG